GACAGUGUGUUAAAGUUAAAUACUGUUAGUGCUGCACUAAAAGAAUUGUUAGUAAUAAGUCCAUGCAGUGAAGGAAGUGAACAAUUGUGGGACCGUAUUUGGGCUGAAAAUGGGUGUGGUACGGAAACCCAAAAAUAGCAUGAGUUCAACAUAAAACAUGAAUUAGAAUUUUAGCGGGGGAUCAAGUAAAAUCUGGAAGUGUUACAGGAUGGAAGAGUGAGCCUACAGUUAAAAAACACUGAAAGUGCAUUACCAUUAAGGUAUGAGCUGCUUCUCUUGCUAAAGAACAAUUUGUCCUUUACGUUCAGUGUUGGUGAAGCUGGGUACUUAAAUGGCCCUAAAGAUGUUUCAUUUCGUUGGCAUUGCAGCGAUGAACAUCAUACAUGGACUUUUUAGGAAAGGAUUUUCAGCAUACUGGGAACACAACUAUCAACAAUGCAACAUUCUAGGGGUGCUAUUUUAUCAUUUAAGAGCCUUAUACAAUGAUUUUCAUCUGCAAUUUGUAUGGCCUUUCCCAAGCUUCUGCCAGAAAUUGAAUCUAUAAGUCAUGUAAGUCACAUGAGCAACAAUUGAGAUGCUUAAUGGUGUUUUUCUUUUCUCAGCAUAGGUUAAUAGUAACAUUGGAUCUGAAAAGAUUCUUGGUUGGGGCAAGACACUGAAUAAAUUGUAAUGAUUGAAUGGA